GACGAACGCUGGCGGCGUGCUUAACACAUGCAAGUCGAACGGAAAGGCCCUGCUUUUGUGGGGUGCUCGAUUGGCGAUCGGGUGCGUAACACGUGAGUAACCUGCCCUUGACUUUGGUAUAACCUCAGGAAACUGGGGCUACUACCGGAUAGGAUCUCCUGCUGCAUGGAGGGGAUUGGAAAUUCUCGGCGGUUGGGGAUGGACUGGCGGCUUAUCAGCUUGUUGGUGGGGUAGUGGCUUACCAAGGCUUUGACGGGUAGCCGGCCUGUGAGGGUGAGCGGCCACCUUGGGACUGAGGUGCGGCCCAGACUCCGACGGGAGGCAGAAGUGGGGAAUAUUGCACAAUGGGCGGAAGCCUGGUGCAGCAGCGCCGCGUGCGGGAUGGCGGCCUUCGGGGUGUAAACCACUUUCGCCUGAAACGAAGCGUGAGUGACGGUAAUGGGUAGAGAAACAACGGCUAACUACGUG
rnacentral:rRNA from 1 species